AGGGUUCGAUUCUGGCUCAGAACGAACGCUGGCGGCGCGUCUUAAGCAUGCAAGUCGGACGGCAAGGGUUGUGCUUGCACAACUCCUAGAGUGGCGGACUGGUGAGUAACGCGUGGGUGACCUGCCCUCGAGAUGGGGAUAGCCAUUAGAAAUAGUGGAUAAUACCGAAUACGCUCAUGACCCUGUGGGGGUAUGAGGAAAACAGGCUACGGCCUGGCUCGAGGAUGGGCCCGCGUCCCAUUAGCUAGUUGGUGAGGUAACGGCCCACCAAGGCGACGAUGGGUAUCCGGCCUGAGAGGGUGUACGGACACAUUGGGACUGAGAUACGGCCCAAACUCCUACGGGAGGCAGCAGCUAAGAAUAUUCCGCAAUGGACGAAAGUCUGACGGAGCGACGCCGCGUGGAUGAAGAAGGCCGGAAGGUUGUAAAAUCCUUUUGCUGAUGAAGAAUAAGUGUGGUAGGGAAUGACCGCAUGAUGACAUUAGUCGGUGAAUAAGCCCCGGCUAACUACGUGCCAGCCGCGGC
rnacentral:rRNA from 1 species